rnacentral:rRNA from 1 species
AUUGAACGCUGGCGGCAUGCUUUACACAUGCAAGUCGAACGGUAACAGGGAGCUUGCUCCGCUGACGAGUGGCGAACGGGUGAGUAAUGCGUCGGAACGUGCCGAGUAGUGGGGGAUAACGCAGCGAAAGUUGUGCUAAUACCGCAUACGUACUGAGGUAGAAAGUGGGGGACCUUCGGGCCUCACGCUAUUCGAGCGGCCGACGUCUGAUUAGCUAGUUGGUGAGGUAAAGGCCCACCAAGGCGACGAUCAGUAGCGGGUCUGAGAGGAUGAUCCGCCACACUGGGACUGAGACACGGCCCAGACUCCUACGGGAGGCAGCAGUGGGGAAUUUUGGACAAUGGGCGCAAGCCUGAUCCAGCAAUGCCGCGUGCAGGAUGAAGGCCUUCGGGUUGUAAACUGCUUUUGUACGGAACGAAACGGUGAGCUCUAAUACAGCUUGCUAAUGACGGUACCGUAAGAAUAAGCACCGGCUAACUACGUGCCAGCCGCCGCAGUAACAC